AACGGCCUCCGAGUUCCAUAACGUUGCGUGAGCCCUCCGAGUUCCAUAACGUUGCAUGAGCAAAAGCAAACCGAGGGUCACGGCAACCACCUGCAUCGCGUGGAACAGCGAGCUUUUGCGUUCCACACGCUGCAAACUGUCGGGUUAUUUUUGCACCGUGCGAGCCUAGCUCGGAAGACCGAUUAGGGUAGCAAACACAGCUUGUUGCGCUAGCUGGGCCUGAUCCAACCUGCGUGCGGACUACCA
rnacentral:lncRNA from 1 species